GCCUGGUUCUGGCCUCAUAUACAUGUAAGUACCCGUUCGUUCAUUAAUAGAUAGCAUAUAAGGAAGUGUGUCGUCUGAAUUUGGAUCAUGCCAUGCACAAGACUAUUCAGAUUGUUUUCUUCAGGAAAGUGAGUAUUCAAGUUGGUUAGAUGAAAGUGUAUCAUCAUUUUUUCAUGAAAAAUAAUUUCAUAAUACCAUAUUGCAGUGACUUCCUAUGUCAUCAGCAAAUGCAGUGGAGAAGAAGCCGGUUCACCACAUGAUCAUUUAAUUUGUUAUUGUUUUUUAACUAUUCCCUGUUGCAUGUAUAAUCAGAAAAAAUAAAACUCCUCCUUUCGGCCCAUACUAGGAGUCUGGAAGUGGUACUUUUGUGAGGAGUGCUGGAACAUGACUGGAUCAAGCGAGACAGAGAACAAUGGAUGAAAGAAAGAGAUCAGAAAAGGGAUUCACUCCUGACCACCUCAUACAUAUAUACAUAUGUAAGAGCUUGUCACCUCAUACAUAUCUCUUGUAGCUAUAUAGGGCUCUUUUCGUAUUCUAGGAAAUUUUAAAAUUAUAUUUUACUAGGGAUGUAAGUAUCAGAUGCUAGAUAUGUGAUCUAGAGAUUUUAGACUUUCAGGAUUCAACCAUCAGUUGUCUUCCUUGAAUAUUUAUUUAUUUUU
rnacentral:lncRNA from 1 species